rnacentral:rRNA from 1 species
AUUGAACGCUGGCGGCAUGCUUUACACAUGCAAGUCGAACGGUAACAGGGAGCUUGCUCCGCUGACGAGUGGCGAACGGGUGAGUAAUGCGUCGGAACGUGCCGAGUAGUGGGGGAUAACGCAGCGAAAGUUGUGCUAAUACCGCAUACGUACUGAGGUAGAAAGUGGGGGACCUUCGGGCCUCACGCUAUUCGAGCGGCCGACGUCUGAUUAGCUAGUAGGUGAGGUAAAGGCUCACCUAGGCGACGAUCAGUAGCGGGUCUGAGAGGAUGAUCCGCCACACUGGGACUGAGACACGGCCCAGACUCCUACGGGAGGCAGCAGUGGGGAAUUUUGGACAAUGGGCGAAAGCCUGAUCCAGCCAUGCCGCGUGUCUGAAGAAGGCCUUCGGGUUGUAAAGGACUUUUGUCGGGGAGGAAAUCCCCAGCGCUAAUACCGCUGGGGGAUGACAGUACCUGAAGAAUAAGCACCGGCUAACUACGUGCCAGCCGCCGCGGUAACAC